UACGGGGGGAGCAAGCGUUGUUCGGAUUUACUGGGCGUAAAGGGCGCGUAGGCGGCCACCGCAAGUCGACUGUGAAAUCCCCGGGCUUAACCUGGGAAUGGCAUUCGGGACUGCAAGGCUGGAGUGCGGCAGAGGAGACUGGAAUUCCUGGUGUAGCAGUGAAAUGCGUAGAUAUCAGGAGGAACACCGAUGGCGAAGGCAGGUCUCUGGGCUGACACUGACGCUCAUGCACGAAAGCGUGGGGAGCAAACAGG
rnacentral:rRNA from 1 species